UGAAAAAAAAAAAGUGAAAAAAAAAUGGGAAAAAAAUGGCGAAAAGUGGAUUCUGAGUGUCUUUCUACCUAGUCUACUCUAGUACUAGUUCUAUGGCGUUUUAACAUUUUUCU
rnacentral:ribozyme from 15 species